rnacentral:lncRNA from 1 species
UCCAGUCCAAUUAUUACAAUCCUGAAAUAGAAAAAUGUGAAAAUAUAAACCUACUCUAUUCUAUGCUAAUUCUAAACUACACUCCAUUGCUUUCUCCACCCGAUGUUUCGAGUCUUGAUCAUGCAUGUCUUCAAGUACAUGCUACUUACAUGGUACAUCAGGGCAUUCCUCGGAUAAAUCAAUACAAAUUCCUCGGGGCAUUCCCCGACCAAAUAAAUACGAUAGAUCCCAAUGCAUAAAUCAAAACCAUUCCACACACAUUUCAUCAUUCAAUAAUCACAAAUCCUAAACUUUGCCUACCCAACCUACGUUUUUCUAUUUCUGACUUAUCAUACUAUUACCAAAUUAAACCAAAACUAAUCUGAAUUCGCCAUUUUAUCAGUUUCUCAAUUCCGCCCCAACUUUCCUUUUAACACUAAAUUUUCAUAAUUCACGAUUUCUAUUUCAACAAUCCUCAAUCAUUUUUAACUUAAUAUUCAUCAUUCACAUCACACAUAACUCAUAACCAAAGGAAAUCAACAACCAAUCAACACAAGCAAUUAUUCAUCAUCAACAAAGAUCAAACCACACACGAAUAUUCAAUUUGAAACACGAAAUAUCAUAAACAUUGAAAUAAAAGAAGGAAAGAAUAAAGUUCGACCUCGAUUGAAGAUUUUAUUGUACCAAAUAUGUGAUCGAAAGAUAAAGCCAGAUCCAAAAACUUCAGAUGUGAACCUCAAUCACGAACUGAACGACCCCAAUCAAAGACAACGACUAACCCAAGCCCAAAUUGAGGUUCUCGAACGGAAUCCACGACUGCCGUCACUCAAAACUCAAUCGGUGGGAAUAUUACCUUUUCUGGUGUAUUUCUGCUGUCGAAACAGAGACAACAACAACGGUGAAGUUGGGUCAUAGGUUGUCGAAUGAUUUUUGAUGGGUUGCAGCUGUGGUUGAUCGGUGAUGGGCGACAGAACAAUUUUCUGGUGGAGCUGGCCGGAAUUAGCCCAUAACAGGUCUAUUUCAGUUGUUUGGAGGCUGGUUUUGCUAAUUCUGGCGGCGGAAGAGCCCUUUUCGGCGAGCUUUAGGCGAAGAAUCGUCGAUCUCUGAUCUCUCUCUCGAUUUUUUACUCACUUCUCACCAUCUCUCCAUUCCUCUCAGAUUUCUUCGCUACUCAAUAUCUUCUUCAAUUUUCUAUGAUUUCGUGCGUGUGCUAGGGUAUAUACUCUGUAAAUUGAGAGUGAUGGGGAGUGUGUUAAUGGCAUGAGGUCAGUGAAGAAGAAAACACCAAAAAAAAUGCCCUUUCAGACUGGUGCUCUCUGGUGAAGAAGAUGAUAAUGGGUUCCCUUUUUCUCCCUUUCGAUCUCACUCUCGAUCUCUCUCUGCUGUGUGUGCUGCGAAGAGGAAACCCAAAGAGAAAAAAUCAAAGCAUCCUCCUUAUCAAGAUAAU